UAUAAUGCCUAAUCCAACUCAGGAGCGGGGGAACCGAAAGAAUGCGUAUGACGCAUCCUAUGUUUUUGGGGGUGAAUGACAUUGCGGGUUCCGCAUGUCAGGGGUGGUCUUCUCACCCUAAUCCGUCAGCUAACCUCGCAGGCAGAGAGAGGA
rnacentral:sRNA from 1 species